AUUGAACGCUGGCGGCAUGCCUUACCCAUGCAAGUCGAACGGCAGCACGGGGGAACCUGGUGGCGAGUGGCGAACGGGUGAGUAAUGCAUGGGAACGUACCUUUCAGUGGGGGAUAACGUAGCGAAAGUUACGCUAAUACCGCCUCUUCUGCGAGCAGCAAAGCAGGGGAUCGCAAGACCUCGCGCAGCUUGAGUGGCGGAUGUCAGAUUAGCUAGUUGGUGAGGUAAAGGCUCACAAAGGCGACGAUCUGUAGCUGGUCUGAGAGGAUGAUCCGCCACACUGGAACUGAGACACGGUCCAGACUCCUACGGGAGGCAGCAGUGGGGAAUUUUGGACAAUGGGGGCAACCCUGAUCCAGCCAUGCCGCGUGAGUGAAGAAGGCCUUCGGGUUGUAAAGCUCUUUCGGCCGGGAAGAAAUCGCACGGGCUAAUACCCUGUGUGGAUGACGGUACCGGAAUAAGAAGCACCGGCUAACUACGUGCCAGCCGCCGCGGUAA
rnacentral:rRNA from 1 species